rnacentral:rRNA from 1 species
UCUUUAAACCUAAAGAAUUUGGCGGUGUUUUAAUCUAUUUAGAGGAACUUGCCCCGUUAUCGAUAAUCCUCGUUUUAUCUUACUUAAUUUAUUUAGUAUGUAUAUCGCUGUUAUAAGUUUAUUUUAUUAGAAUUUUAAUUUACUUAAAUUUUUAUUUUAAUAUAUUUCAAGUCAAGGUGCAGCUUAUAAUUAAGAGGAGGUGAGUUACAAUAUAUUUAUAUAAAUGGAUUUAUUUUUUAAAAUUUUUAAUGAAGGUGGAUUUAAUAGUAAUUUUGAUUAUAGUGUCAUUUUGAUUUUAGCUCUAAAAUAAGUACACAUCGCCCGUCGCUCUA